AUAAUUUUAAAGCUCCAUAUUGGGAAAAAAGACCUUGAAGCUCCAUAUAAUUAAGAUAGUGGUGCUGGUUUGUGUGGUCAAGAAGUCCCUGAGGAGGAAAGUGUAGGAAAAUGUAAUGCCUCCACUGCCGCACAUCAUCAGUCACCCGUUGCUGAGUUCUUCAGACGAGUAACAUGAGCUACGCAUGCUCCAGCUCCAUGCGCCCUGUAAGGAAAAGCUGCAUGGAGAAGGGGCAACCAGCUUCAUGCGCUGUAAUACUCGUAGGACAAGUGGUGUGGAUCUUAGAGAUUUAUCUUAAUGGGCUUGGACUUCCAAAGAAGGGCCCAUUAGGUCAAGAAGUGAGGGCUAUAAAAGGAGACACUUAGGGGGAAAAAGGGGCAGAUUUAUUCUAUCUUAAACAAUGUAUUUUUACCAUUGCUAUUUUAGAGUAUUCUUGGAGCUCCUUCUAGGUAGCUCCAUAGGAUAGCUCACCCGUUGUACUUAUGUAUACAUACGUGAACAUGGCUCAAUAGCAAAGUGAAGGGAUUCCCGUAGUCCAUUAAUCAUCGGAUACAAAUCCAAGGGUUUGCCUCAGUUUCAUUUAAGGACAUAUUUUAUCACAAGUCUAUGUUGAGGGAUAAAGUUGCCACACCAAAUGUGUUUGGAGUCUGAUUUGGUAAGGGGUAGGAUGUUGGGAGGCAGUGCAUGAAAAUGUUGGGAGAUGAUAGUUGCUGCUGUGUCAAAACAAAAACGCAGGAUAUUUUUGCCGGUUGUAUAAUUUGUACAGGCUGGUUGCUGAUUGCAUGAUAAAAAACUCUGCAGGCAAGAAGGCAAUAAUUUAAAGUCUCCCUAUUGAUGGCUUGGAAGUAAUGAAGAUUUAGCUGUCAACUCAACUCAUCAUCAGGACAAUGUAUUGUCCAAAAUGUGGCACUAAGGUUAUUUUUAUAUAAAUUACAAAUAAUGUAACAUAAUGUAGAGAUUUAUCUUUUUGUUAUUUUGAUUCAAUUUCUAAAUAUUCACAGCUAGGAGAUUUUUUUUUGCUUCAAGUGAAGCUAGGAAAGAUGAUGUUGUAAGUUUUGGUGAAAAGUGAUUAAUAGGUUUAGUUAGAAUAUCUUAUUUCAAUGUCUUAUUACUAAAAGUGUUGGUCUUAAUGUUGAUUCAAAUGUACUAUUGUGUUGCACAUGGAUUGUGUAAAGCAUACUUGUUUGUUUGUUAUGUAAUUUUUAGAUUCAAUAACUUGAUGAAUUCACCGGUAAUGUUUCACUCCCAAAAAGUUAAUAGAGAAAUGAUGUUUCA